rnacentral:rRNA from 1 species
GAUAAACGCUGGCGGCGCACAUAACACAUGCAAGUCGAACGGACUUAUCCAUUAUUUUUCUAUUGGAGCGGGGAGUGGCGGACUGGUGAGAAACACAUAAACCCCCUGCCUAUCAGAGGGGAACAACAGUUAGAAAUGACUGCUAAUACCGCAUAUGCCUUAGAAUCACAUGGUUCAAAAGGGAAAGGAGCAAUCCGCCGAUAGAUGGGCUUGCGUCUGAUUAGAUAGUUGGUGAGGUAACGGCCCACCAAGUCGACGAUCAGUAGCCGGACUGAGAGGUUGAACGGCCACAUUGGGACUGAGAUACGGCCCUGACUCCUACGGGAGGCAGCAGUCGGGAAUAUUGCGCAAUGGAGGAAACUCUGACGCAGUGACGCCGCGUGCAGGAAGAAGGUUUUCGGAUUGUAAACUGCUUUAGACAGGGAAGAUACAAGACAGUACCUGUAGAAUAAGCUCCGGCUAACUACGUGCCAGCAGCCGCGGUAAUACGUAGGGAGCAAGCGUUAUCCGGAUUUAUUGGGUGUAAAGGGUGCGUAGACGGGAAAACAAGUUAGUUGUGAAAUCCCUCGGCUUAACUGAGGAACUGCAACUAAAACUAUUUUUCUUGAGUGCUGGAGAGGAAAGUGGAAUUCCUAGUGUAGCGGUGAAAUGCGUAGAUAUUAGGAGGAACACCAGUGGCGAAGGCGACUUUCUGGACAGUAACUGACGUUGAGGCACGAAAGUGUGGGGAGCAAACAGGAUUAGAUACCCUGGUAGUCCACACCGUAAAC